UACAGAGGGGGCAAGCGUUGUUCGGAAUUACUGGGCGUAAAGGGCGCGUAGGCGGCCUUCUAAGUCGAACGUGAAAUCCCCGGGCUCAACCCGGGAACUGCGUCCGAUACUGGAAGGCUUGAAUCCGGGAGAGGGAUGCGGAAUUCCAGGUGUAGCGGUGAAAUGCGUAGAUAUCUGGAGGAACACCGGUGGCGAAGGCAGCCCCCUGGGCUAACACUGACGCUCAUGCACGAAAGCGUGGGGAGCAAACAGG
rnacentral:rRNA from 1 species